AUUGAACGCUGGCGGCAGGCCUAACACAUGCAAGUCGAGCGGAUGAAGGGAGCUUGCUCCUGGAUUCAGCGGCGGACGGGUGAGUAAUGCCUAGGAAUCUGCCUGGUAGUGGGGGAUAACGUCCGGAAACGGACGCUAAUACCGCAUACGUCCUGAGGGAGAAAGUGGGGGAUCUUCGGACCUCACGCUAUCAGAUGAGCCUAGGUCGGAUUAGCUAGUUGGUGGGGUAAAGGCCUACCAAGGCGACGAUCCGUAACUGGUCUGAGAGGAUGAUCAGCCACACUGGAACUGAGACACGGUCCAGACUCCUACGGGAGGCAGCAGUGGGGAAUAUUGGACAAUGGGCGAAAGCCUGAUCCAGCCAUGCCGCGUGUGUGAAGAAGGUCUUCGGAUUGUAAAGCACUUUAAGUUGGGAGGAAGGGCAGUAAGUUAAUACCUUGCUGUUUUGACGUUACCAACAGAAUAAGCACCGGCUAACUUCGUG
rnacentral:rRNA from 1 species